CAAAAUUUAAAUUUCCAAAGGGAUUAGUGUCGUUAUAUGUUGACACAAGCUCAUUCCGAAAGACAGUUCACGCUCAUAUCAAUUUAACCGGACGAAGCUAUCAGAAAAUAAUCACACAUUACCUUGUUCUUUCGUGAAUUUCUACAACUUUUUUGGAUCAAGCUUUCAACGUUGGAUUAGGGUUUUCAUUCCAUGGCGAUGUAAUCAUUAUCUCGUUUCUAUAACAAGGAAAUUAAAGAGAGAAUUUAUGUGAAUACCUGAGAGCCAUUUUGUUUCAAAGCAAGAAUGUAUUGUUUGGGAUUUUGAAUAUUUGGAGCGCCAUUUAUUGUACAGGCUCGGAAGCAGCUACAUGUCUAUUUUACACAUGGUUCAUGUAAUUAUCGAUCGUCGUGCGAAGUUUGAAAGCUGGUAAAACUACAGCUUGAAGAAUCGCAACGCUAAAUCACAACUCGUUCGUUGCUAUGCAGAGACAGCCUUCAGCAACACCGCCGCGGACGAACCAUGGCCGGAGGAAUUCGGAUUCCGGAUCGGCGGAAACGCGCCCGUUAUAAUAACGGAUAUAUUUGAGGAAUCGUACGCGCAGAAAUCUGGCCUCAGGCCGGGCGAUCAACUUCUGGAGGUAGACGGGGUGAACGUUCAGGGCUUGAGUAAGGAGGAUGUGAUCAGUCUGGCCCAGCAAUCCACGAGGGUACCCCCCGCCCUGUGUGUUAUCUCGAGGAUAAGGAGUUUUACUCUCCGCAGGCGGAGGGGGACGUUUGGUUUUAAGGUCCGGGGAGGUGGGCCUGUUUUUGUAUCACAAUUGGAAGAACGUGGGCCAGCAAAGGUGGCGGGGAUAAGACUUGGGAAUAUGUUGGUCGAGGUGAAUAAUACAUCAGUGCGAGAAAUGACGUAUAUUGAAGUGGAGAGGUUGAUCAGUACCUCCGGGUCGCUGCUGCAGUUGGUUAUGAUUGCUGGGGUGAAGUCGAUUGAGGAGAUAGAGAAGCGUAAUACGGCUUCAAGAUUUCGUCGUGCGAGGGAAUUCUUUCAAGAGAUGAACUAUUACUUGGUUGGAGAGGAAAAGAAAAGAUCUCAACUCGUGAAAUUGUUAAAUAAAUUCGCGAAAGACAAAUCCGUAGAAACGCUAGCGAGAGGAAUCAUGAAACUUUUGGAAACACCGGUGCAAAAAAGACUCAUUCCUACAAUCAAGCAACUCAUCCCAAGAGAUAAAGAAAGAUAUUCACAGAUAUCUUACAAGAAAAGUUAGAAAACCAGAAAGCAAGUUUAAAACGAAGUGCAUCGUUUGAUGAAAAAACGAAUAUUCCCCCAGCACAACCAAAAUCUCCUGUGACAUCCGGAUCAAAGUUCAGAACAUGGUCAAAAGGGAGUAAAUCACCCACGAAACAAACUCCACCAACAUCACCUCGUGGUAACACCAUUUCAUACCAUCAAAGACCAUCACCUGCGGUCUUACAGAACGAUCUGGAGCAAUCAAACUUUCAACGAAGUUACUCAACAACAUUACUCAUCAUCAACUUAUUCAGACCGCUACGCUCGAUAUGCAACAUGGCGGAUGCACUUGCUAAAGUUGAUGGCACUAAUUUGUUAGAUAACACUCCAGAUAAGUGGAGUGAAGAAUCGAUAUGUAGCAAUAAUGCAUACCUAAAUGUCACAUAUGAUGGUAAACGAAUCAAAUGGACAAAUAACUACGAACUGUUGAAAGAAUUCGUUGAAAAUAAUCUCAAAGAAUCGGGCAAAUGGACAUCGCCAGGAGGUCAAUCUCGGCGUUUCAAAAGCGAAUUCACUGACCUGUGUUUCACAUGGUACUAUGGCAAACAGAAAACCGUAUUAUUUCAAGGCAAAGCGGGUGAACGUUUAAGACAAAUUCUAGUUAACAUUUGUAGCAGGAGGGCUUUGCGUCUUGAUUUGGGUUGCACUGCUGACAAGUCAUCGUCCACGCUAAUGGAAGCCAAAGUAGUGGAAAUGAAUCACUCAGAAAAUACAUCAAGCUGUAAGUGUUCAUGUGAAAGUAUCCGGGCGGAAUUGGAUGAUAUGAAGUUAAACUAUGAAAUUUUACAAUCGAGAACUGAUGCCCUGCAAAGUCUGGCAAAUGCAAAUAAGAUACUUGACCCGAUAGACACAUACUUAAACAAUUUGAUAUCUUAACAAUAUCAGAAACGUGGCUAAAUACAAGUGUAUCGUCUGCUGAAGUAAAAAUAGAAGGUUUCAAUCUUUUAAGAUUAGACCGCCUUCAUAAACGAGGUGGAGGGGUGUGCACGUAUGUUCGUAAAGAACUUAAAGCAUCUGUCAUAAAGUCUCUGUCUUCUAUCUCUGAAGACAACUUCCACCAACAAUGGAUAAAUGUUCAGUAUAAAAAAUCCAAAUCGUUUUUAAUCUGUGUAACUUACAGGCCACCUGACUGUUCCUUGAACUGUUUGGAAGACGCUCUUAAGCCAAACUAUAUGGAAGCUUUAUUAUUAAACAAACCAAUCCUGAUCCUAGAAGACCUAAAUUGUGAUGUAUUGAAGAGUGGUUGCGCAGAGUAUAAAUCUCUUGAAAAAUUUUUAAAUGAAAUGAACCUUACCCAAAUCAUCGAAACCGCAACGAGGAUCACGAAUUCAACUUGUUCAUUGCUAGAUGUCAUCAUAGUGUCGUCGAAGUCGUUAGUUAGCCGAAGUGGGGUAUUAAACGCAUCUAUCAGCGACCAUUUGCCAGUGUACGCGGAACUCAAACUUAAACCUCCUAGACAAGCCACAAGAUAUAUCACUACGCGUAGCUACAAAAACUAUGUACCUAAUGACUUCUUCACCGAUCUAGCUAGAAAGUCAGACUCCCUCUUAUCCGUUUUGGAAGAGGAAGAUGUAAAUAACAAACUCGAUCGCUUUAACCAUGUUGUGCAAUCAACACUAGAUGUUCACGCACCGAUUAAAACAAUAGCGAUUCGUAACCGACUUUGCCCUUUUAUCACACAAAAUCUUAGAAACCAAAUGAAAGAGAGAGACCGAUUACACCAUCAAUUCCUAAUUACGCGUGACACUAAGGACUGGGAAAAUUACAAGGUCUACCGAAAUAAUAUUAAAAAAGCUCUCAGGAAGGCAGAAAAUGAACAUAAUUCUAAUGAAGUACAGCAACACAAAGAUAACCCGAGGUCUAUCUGAAAAAUAAUAAACCGUCUGGUACCAUCAAAGAGCCAAGAGAGACAAAUUUACACCAAAGAUCACAAAUCUAUCGCAAACGAAUUCAAUCAAUUUUUUUCAUCAGUUGGUGAAAAUGCUGCAAAGAAAUCUAUUCAUCUAGCAGCUGCUAAUAACAUCGCUCUGCAGGAACCCUAUGAAAAAGUUUAUAUACCGGAAAACGAUCAAUUUUCGUUUAGGGCGGUAUCUUGUUAUGAAGUUCGUCGAGUGGUGUUAUCUUUACCUAACAAUAAAUCUCCCGGCCCAGAUUUAAUUAACCCAAAGAUAAUAAAAGACUGUCUUCCAGUGAUUUUGGGUCCUCUUACGGAUAUUAUUAACUGUUCUUUCCGAACUUCUACCUUUCCACUGGCAUGGAAAAAGGCAGAGCUCAUUCCUAUACAUAAAGAAGGUGAUCAUGAACUACCCUUUAAUAACCGACCAGUGUCACUACUAGCAGUAGCGUCGAAAGUGUGUGAAAAAUUAGCUCUUGAACAAUUGAAUUCCUAUUUAAUCAACUACAAGCGAUUAACUCCCCACCAAAGUGGAAACAAAACACUCCAUUCGACGGAAACAUUAAAUAUUUUCACCACUGACUCAAUCUUAGAUGCCAUGGACAAAAAGAAGCUUACAGCACUAGUGUUGCUGGAUCUCUCAAAGGCGUUCGAUAGUAUAAAUCACCAGAGGCUACUCCAAAAAUUAUUCAAUGUCGGAGCUUCUAAUUCCACAAUAAAUUGGUUUAGAAGUUACCUAACUGACCGCUCUCAAGUCACUCGUAUUGAUUCUACAAUAUCGGAGCCACUAUUAUUAACUCAUGGGGUACCUCAGGGGGCCAUUUUAUCGCCACUGCUCUUCUGUAUAUACUUAAACGAUUUACCCGCUACAUCCUACAAUGGCAAUCUGGAAUCAUAUGUAGAUGAUACAAAGUUACUGUUAUCGUUUCCUCUAUCAGAAGUUGACAACGCUGUAAAAAACUUGGAACAAGAUCUACAUAUGAUCGCGACUUGGUGCUGCGAAAACAGUCUUCUGGUCAACCCAGACAAAACUAAAUUUAUGAUUCUUGGAACAAGACAGUUGAUAAGAGAGCUCGAUGUUAAUAUCUCGGUUCCUUUCAUGGGAAAGCUUUUAGAACCUGUUGAUUGGGCGAAAGAUCUAGGAAUGUUGAUGGACAAACACCUAAGUUAUGACAAACAUAUCUCUAAAGUAGUAUCAUCUUGCCUCCACAAAUUGUGCCAGAGUUAAAAACAACUUCGAUAAGAGCACACUCACCAUGAUAAUAUCCUCGUUAGUGAUCAAUAAAAUGUUAUAUUAGUGUGGUCAAAUACAACAAAUGCUAACAUGAAGAAACUUCAAUCGGUUCAAAAUUUUGCAAGUAAAAUAAUCACAGGAUCUAAGAAAUAUGAUCAUGUAACCCCAUUACUUAAAGAUCUGGAGUGGCUGACUGUCGACAAAUUGCUCUAUUUCCGUGAUGCGGUUAUGACUUAUAAAUGCAUGAACACUUUAGCGCCAAAAUACCUCUGUGAUAUGUUCGAGAAGAGAACUUCUAUUCAUAAUAGGUCAACUAGGUAUUGCAACUUAGUACAAAUACCCCGGUUCAAAACAAGGACAGGUCAACGGUCAUUUGCGUAUAGAGGAGCUGUGAUUUGGAACAACCUAGAUAGUAAACUGAAGGAAUGCACAUCACUUAAGACUUUUAAAACUCAUUUGAAAGAUCAUUUACUGUCAUUUUGGCCUGUUAUCGACAUUGUAAAUACUAUUAGCUUUUUAACAUUCUAUUAAACAUAGUUUAGUUUUAAUUGUAAAUUAUCCAGUAUAAUAUAAUUAUUUCUUAAAUAUUGUAAAUAGGUUCUGAAAAACCCUUCUGGGAGAAACUAUUAAAAUUAUC